ensembl:snRNA U6 U6 spliceosomal RNA
AUGCUCGCUUUGGCAGCACAUAUACUAAAAUUGGAACGAUACAGAGAAGAUUAGCAUGGUCCCUGAAAAAGGAAGACAUGCAAAUUCAUGAAGUGUUCCGUAUUUUU